rnacentral:snRNA from 1 species
GUGAUUCCAUAAGAAUCGGCAGCACAUAUACUAAAAUCGGAACAAUAUAGAGAAGAGUAGCAUGGCCCCUGCACAAGGAUGACAAGCAAAUUCGUGAAGCGUUCCACAUUUAA